CACGUGGGGUGCGAGCGUUGUCCGGAAUUAUUGGGCGUAAAGAGCUCGUAGGCGGUGUGUCGCGUCGGCCGUGAAAACCUGCAGCUCAACUGCAGGCUUGCGGUCGAUACGGGCAGGCUAGAGUUCGGUAGGGGAGACUGGAAUUCCUGGUGUAGCGGUGAAAUGCGCAGAUAUCAGGAGGAACACCGGUGGCGAAGGCGGGUCUCUGGGCCGAUACUGACGCUGAGGAGCGAAAGCGUGGGGAGCGAACAGG
rnacentral:rRNA from 1 species